AAUCUUCCGCAAUGGGCGCAAGCCUGACGGAGCAACGCCGCGUGAGUGACGAAGGUUUUCGGAUUGUAAAACUCUGUCCAGAGGGAAGAAACAAAUGACGGUACCUUUGGAGGAAGCCCCGGCUAACUACGUGCCAGCGGCCGCGGUAAAACGUAGGGGGCGAGCGUUGUCCGGAAUUACUGGGCGUAAAGGGCGUGUAGGCGGCCAAGCAAGUUAGAAGUGAAACCUAUCGGCUUAACCGAUAGCCUGCUUCUAAAACUGCGUGGCUUGAGUACAGUAGAGGGGAGUGGAAUUCCCAGUGUAGCGGUGAAAUGCGUAGAUAUUGGGAGGAACACCAGUGGCGAAAGCGGCUCCCUGGCCUGUAACUGACGCUGAGGCGCGAAAGCGUGGGUAGCAAAC
rnacentral:rRNA from 1 species